rnacentral:lncRNA from 1 species
GUUUCUUUUAGGCCCUCUCAGCUUACAGAACAAAUGUGACGCCUACCACAGCAUGGCUUGUCAAUCAGUGCCAUGUCCGCACCCAGGAUCGGAACUGGCGAACACGGGCCACUGAGAAGCAGAACGUGCAAACUUAACCGGCCCAGGCCUUAAGAAGAUCUGGCAGCUUCUGCUUUUGCUCCCUGGGGGAAGCCAGCCCGCUGUGAGCAGUCCAACUAUCCUGAGAGAUCACCUGGAGAGGCCAAGCAGAGGAGAACUGAGGAACCCAGCCAACACCAAGGACUGAAGCCUAGAUAUAUGACCCCACUUGAAUUGUUCCAACCAGACCUCAGCUUUUUGAGCCAUUCCAGCUGAGGGCCCAGACAUCACAGAACAGAGAUGAGCUAUUCCCACCAUGCUCUGAUCAAGUUACUGACCCACAAAGCCAUGUUCCAAUGAAAUGCUGUUUUAAGC